CAAGGAUUGAAGUCAAACCUGGCUCACCAUACACUUGCCAACUUGAUCCGGGAGUAAAGCUUCACAUAUCUCAGGCAACACUAGGCCUUGGUUCAUCUACAAGGAGAAGCAUACUUAAAGGUGCUCCAAAAGAUAAGUGUGCAGUGUUCUUGUGUUCACUAAUGGUAGGGAACAAGUGCUCAUGCAAGUUGAAUUUGGAGUUAAAUAGUAAUGAUGAAGUAACAUUCUCAGUUGCGGGCCCUCAAAGCGUUCAUCUCUCUGGUUUCCUCACCAGUGAUCUUGAUUCAAGAAUCAAAAUCCAGUAAAAUAUAGAUGUUUGAGCCCCCAAUUAUAUACAUUGUGGUGUACAGAAAAAAGAGUAGUGUAUGUAAUUGCAUGAAUUUAAAUAAUAGUAUCAGUUGAUAUAUUCACGAGUAACCAUAACCAAAAUUUAAAAUCCUGAUAUGUAAAUUGAAUCUUAAUGAUGGAUGUAAAUAAGAAACGAUUAUAGUAAAUUAUAUGGCUAUAUACAUUGAAAGUAUUUUAAGCAUUUUAGAGAGUGAAGGUAAGGUGACAACACCAAGGAUGUCACUAGAGAGGCUAAGAGAGUUUCAAUGUGAUGUAAGUCAAGGGUGAGAGUUGAGGGAAGUGAUAAAUCUGUGUGAAUCUAACAACUAUAGCUACGGUUGGAAUGGAGGUAAGAAUAUAUAAAGAAUAGUGGUAUAAAAACUGCAGCUAUAGAACCUUAUUAAAUGUCCUCACUUGUUUGGUGCCUAAACGAUAUACUUGGGGAAUGGGAACAUGGUUUUGGUCAUUUGGUAUAGAUUGAAUUCUUGAGUUUACAUACUAUUAAUUUGUUGCUUGAAGCUAUGUUGAAAAAUGUAGCAAUGUGGCAGGAGGCUAGGGUUUUUGGGCCAGUUCAGUAUUGUUCUUAUCUCUCUCUCUCUCUCUUGUUUAGCAUCUCACUUAUGAUACAUUGGUUGCUAUAUCCUAUAGCAUCUCUCUCUCUCAACUAUUUUUUUUAUUAUUAUUAUUAUGUUCAUUUGAGCAGGAAAACUCAAUGGCUUUGGCAUUGUGGAGUAGCUUAAAGGGCAGCAUAGUAUAUUGAGAGACUGUAUUGAACAACUAACGGUAGUUGAAUCAUCAAGAACAAAUCUUGUGUCUUAUCUGAGAGAGGCUCUUCGGGAGCAGGAAUUCAAACUGGAUCAAAUCGUCAAUCAACUUCAGGUAAUUCUGUUGCCUCAUGGUUUGGCUCUUUUGGGUGGAUUAUCACUUGGUUAUUUUUUCUUUUUGUCUGGAUUAUAAAUUGGUUAUUUUUUCUUAUUGCCUCAUUGUUUGGCUCUGUUGCAGUGUACUUUAUUUACAAAUUUCUAGUGGAAUUUCCAACAGGUUUCUAUUAAGGAUCACUUUUGACAUACAACAUUAAUCAAAGAAGAAUAGCUUCAUCAUUAUUUACUAUAAUUUCAUUUGAUUUUAGACCUUUUUAAACAAAAUUAAUAAUAAUAAUAAAUCUGAAAAUAUGGGGUAUUGCUGACAUUAAAAAAAAUUAAUAAUAAUAAUAAUAAUUUUUAAACUUGGCCUGACAUUAACCAUUAAGGAACAAGUCCCAUUAGUCAUUGUUUUGACUGGUGGGUUAACUAGUUGAACCAUCAUAUGCAAAAAAUUGUUGUAAAUUUUAAGAAACAUAUGAACCUUAGAUAAAUAUAAGGUCAAAGAAUCUGUGUGCGCGUGCAUUUGUUUAUUUUUACUCAAACUUAUCUAUUUACUUUGACAACUUUCUUUAGCAUUUUUGGGUCAGUUUUGGUUAUUU